CCUACGGGCGGCUGCAGUGGGGAAUAUUGGACAAUGGGCGAAAGCCUGAUCCAGCAAUGCCGCGUGAGUGAUGAAGGCCUUAGGGUUGUAAAGCUCUUUUACCAGGGAUGAUAAUGACAGUACCUGGAGAAUAAGCUCCGGCUAACUCCGUGCCAGCAGCCGCGGUAAUACGGAGGGAGCUAGCGUUGUUCGGAAUUACUGGGCGUAAAGCGCACGUAGGCGGCUUUUUAAGUCAGAGGUGAAAUCCCGGGGCUCAACCCCGGAACUGCCUUUGAAACUGGGAAGCUAGAAUCUUGGAGAGGCGAGUGGAAUUCCGAGUGUAGAGGUGAAAUUCGUAGAUAUUCGGAAGAACACCAGUGGCGAAGGCGACUCGCUGGACAAGUAUUGACGCUGAGGUGCGAAAGCGUGGGGAGCAAACAGGAUUAGAUACCCCAGUAGUC
rnacentral:rRNA from 1 species